CGCGCUCAACACAGCGUCUCCUGCUUCAUUUGGUUGCAACAGCAAGCCCAACUCACUGUCUAUAGUAGCAACAACAGCUCCAUUCAUUAGAAACUGGCAGCAGGGGCGGCAACAUCACCGGGAUGCAGCUGUUAACAGCGGCGAGAAGAGUUUUUAUGGUAUGGCGGGAAGUUUUCUAUGGCCUGGGUAUCUUCUUCAACCCGUGUCAUGCACUGUGUCGAUUCAACAUUCUAAGAGUGAGCUGCAAACUGUCCAAGUUUAAAACUCUAGGUUAUGCUGCAAGCGGGACUCUUGGAAGUUGCUGCCCCCCCCUACUUUUCUGUGGGUGGGGGUGAGCACACAUCGGCUGGGGGGUUAGGUUAAUUGCGGGGCUUUGCUAGUUGCAGCUUUUUCAAGUGUGUGAGUUUAUGCUUCCUUCCCUGCUCCACCUACCCUUGUUUCUAUUCCCAUCUAUGACUCUGCUUCUGGGUUUCAAUCUUUAACUGCUCGAACUCCAACUGAAGGAUCUACUGCUCGAUCUCGAAUUGAAUAUGUUCCCAGCUCUGUUGCUGGGUAUCGAAAUGAUGAAA